UCUUGGCCAGCCUUCUGAAAGGAAGAUUAAUACAAGAUGGCAUCAUGAGUCCGCAUGUUCACAUGAUUAAAGGUAUUCCGGUAGACGAUGGGGAUGCGUUCCAUUAGAUAGUAGGCGGGGUAACGGCCCACCUAGUCUUCGAUGGAUAGGGGUUCUGAGAGGAAGGUCCCCCACAUUGGAACUGAGACACGGUCCAAACUCCUACGGGAAGCAGCAGUGAGGAAUAUUGGUCAAUGGGCGAGAGCCUGAACCAGCCAAGUAGCGUGAAGGAUGACUGCCCUAUGGGUUGUAAACUUCUUUUAUAAAGGAAUAAAGUCGGGUAUGCAUACCCGUUUGCAUGUACUUUAUGAAUAAGGAUCGGCUAACUCCGUGCCAGCAGCCGCGGUAAUACGGAGGAUCCGAGCGUUAUCCGGAUUUAUUGGGUUUAAAGGGAGCGUAGAUGGAUGUUUAAGUCAGUUGUGAAAGUUUGCGGCUCAACCGUAAAAUUGCAGUUGAUACUGGAUAUCUUGAGUGCAGUUGAGGCAGGCGGAAUUCGUGGUGUAGCGGUGAAAUGCUUAGAUAUCACGAAGAACUCCGAUUGCGAAGGCAGCCUGCUAAGCUGCAACUGACAUUGAGGCUCGAAAGUGUGGGUAUCAAACAGGAUUAGAUACCCUGGUAGUCCACACGGUAAACGAUGAAUACUCGCUGUUUGCGAUAUACAGCAAGCGGCCAAGCGAAAGCGUUAAGUAUUCCACCUGGGGAGUACGCCGGCAACGGUGAAACUCAAAGGAAUUGACGGGGGCCCGCACAAGCGGAGGAACAUGUGGUUUAAUUCGAUGAUACGCGAGGAACCUUACCCGGGCUUAAAUUGCAGAUGAAUUACGGUGAAAGCCGUAAGCCGCAAGGCAUCUGUGAAGGUGCUGCGUGGUUGUCGUCAGCUCGUGCCGUGAGGUGUCGGCUUAAGUGCCAUAACGAGCGCAACCCUUGUUGUCAGUUACUAACAGGUUCCGCUGAGGACUCUGACAAGACUGC
rnacentral:rRNA from 1 species